rnacentral:rRNA from 1 species
GACGUAGGGGGCCAGCGUUGUUCGGAAUUACUGGGUGUAAAGGGUUCGUAGGCGGUGCGGCAAGUUGGGAGUGAAAUCUCUGGGCUUAACCCAGAGGCUGCUUCCAAAACUGCUGUGCUUGAGUGUGGGAGAGGCGCGUGGAAUUGCAGGUGUAGCGGUGAAAUGCGUAGAUAUCUGCAGGAACACCCGUGGCGAAAGCGGCGCACUGGACCAUAACUGACGCUGAGGCGCGAAAGCUAGGGGAGCAAACAGG